rnacentral:lncRNA from 1 species
UGGCAGAACAUUCAGAAUGUGUACUGUACAUUAAAGCCACCAUGACCACGACCCGUCUCUCUCUGUGGGCGAUUGCCUAUGUUGAAAAAGGGUAACAAAAUUUUCAUUAAUAAAAUUUCCAUCCUUGUCUCAAUCAUAAAUAGAUCAACCAAUAAUCCACUUUCUUUAUCUUUGCCUGGCUAUCACUUGAUCAUUCAAGUUACGGUGAAAGAGACUUCUUGCCCAACCCAAAUCUUCUUUAUAUGUAUAUAGAUUGUAUAAGAAGAUUUCAUGGUAUGAUAAAGCUUCAAUUUUACAGCUAUUCCAUCCAUUCAUGAGGCAUAAAAGGACAAAUCUCUUGUUUUCUUUUCUU